rnacentral:rRNA from 1 species
AACGCUAGCUACAGGCUUAACACAUGCAAGUCGAGGGGCAGCGAGGUUGAAGCUUGCUUCAGCUGUCGGCGACCGGCGCACGGGUGAGUAACACGUAUCCAACCUGCCUGUUACUCGGGGAUAACCUCUCGAAAGAGAGACUAAUACCCGAUGGUACCACAUGAGGGCAUCCGAUUGUGGUUAAAGAUUUAUCGGUAACAGAUGGGGAUGCGUUCCAUUAGUUUGUUGGCGGGGUAACGGCCCACCAAGACAACGAUGGAUAGGGGUUCUGAGAGGAAGGUCCCCCACAUUGGAACUGAGACACGGUCCAAACUCCUACGGGAGGCAGCAGUGAGGAAUAUUGGUCAAUGGGCGAAAGCCUGAACCAGCCAAGUAGCGUGCAGGAUGACGGCCCUAUGGGUUGUAAACUGCUUUUAUGCAGGAAUAAAGUUAGCCACGUGUGGUUAUUUGUAGGUACUGUAUGAAUAAGGACCGGCUAAUUCCGUGCCAGCAGCCGCGGUAAUACGGAAGGUCCAGGCGUUAUCCGGAUUUAUUGGGUUUAAAGGGAGCGUAGGCCGUCUGUUAAGCGUGUUGUGAAAUGUAGAUGCUCAACAUCUGAAUUGCAGCGCGAACUGGCAGACUUGAGUGUGCGCAACGUAGGCGGAAUUCGUGGUGUAGCGGUGAAAUGCUUAGAUAUCACGAAGAACUCCGAUUG